UGAAGCCUUCCUUUAAUGAUGAUAGUUUCUAAAGUGAAUUAUUUGAAUCUCUUUGCAUGUUUUGGCUCUGUUAAUCUAACUCUUGUCUUUAAAUAGAUGCUGAGAGUGUAAAUCUAGAUGACUAUAACAUACACGUCAUUGCAAGUGUAUUCAAACAAUGGCUUCGAGAUUUGCCCAAUCCUCUCAUGACCUUUGAACUCUAUGAGGAAUUUCUUCGAGCUAUGGGCCUUCAGGAGAGGAAGGAGACAAUCCGUGGUGUAUACUCUGUGAUUGAUCAACUCUCCCGAACUCAUCUCAAUACACUGGAACGCCUCAUCUUUCAUCUAGUCAGGAUUGCUCUGCAGGAAGACACUAAUCGAAUGUCUGCUAAUGCUUUGGCCAUUGUGUUUGCGCCCUGCAUUCUCCGCUGCCCUGACACCACUGACCCGCUACAAAGUGUACAGGACAUCAGUAAGACUACCACUUGUGUGGAACUGAUCGUUGUGGAACAAAUGAAUAAAUACAAGGCUCGUCUCAAAGAUAUCAGUAGCUUGGAAUUUGCUGAGAAUAAGGCAAAGACCAGGUUGUCACUGAUUCGUAGAUCAAUGGGAAAGGGGCGUAUUCGUCGAGGAAACUAUCCAGGUCCAUCGUCUCCUGUUGUAGUUCGGUUGCCUUCUGUGUCUGAUGUCUCAGAGGAGACCUUGACUAGUGAGG
rnacentral:sRNA from 1 species